rnacentral:rRNA from 1 species
GAUGAACGCUGGCGGCGUGCCUAAUACAUGCAAGUCGAGCGAACAGACGAGGAGCUUGCUCCUCUGACGUUAGCGGCGGACGGGUGAGUAACACGUGGGUAACCUACCUAUAAGACUUGGAUAACUUCGGGAAACCGGAGCUAAUACCGGAUAAUAUUUUGAACCGCAUGGUUCAAUAGUGAAAGAUGGUUUUGCUGUCACUUAUAGAUGGAUCCGCGCCGCAUUAGCUAGUUGGUAAGGUAACGGCUUACCAAGGCAACGAUGCGUAGCCGACCUGAGAGGGUGAUCGGCCACACUGGAACUGAGACACGGUCCAGACUCCUACGGGAGGCAGCAGUAGGGAAUCUUCCGCAAUGGGCGAAAGCCUGACGGAGCAACGCCGCGUGAGUGAUGAAGGUCUUCGGAUCGUAAAACUCUGUUAUUAGGGAAGAACAAACGUGUAAGUAACUAUGCACGUCUUGACGGUACCUAAUCAGAAAGCCACGGCUAACUACGUG